rnacentral:rRNA from 1 species
UACGUAGGGUGCGAGCGUUAAUCGGAAUUACUGGGCGUAAAGCGUGCGCAGGCGGUUUUGUAAGCCAGAUGUGAAAUCCCCGGGCUUAACCUGGGAAUGGCAUUUGGGACUGCAAGGCUGGAGUGUGGCAGAGGAGACUGGAAUUCCUGGUGUAGCAGUGAAAUGCGUAGAUAUCAGGAGGAAUACCGAUGGCGAAGGCAGGUCUCUGGGCUGACACUGACGCUCAUGCACGACAGCGUGGGGAGCAAACAGG